ACGUAGGAGGCAAACGUUAUCCGGAUUUACUGGGCGUAAAGCGCGUGUAGGUGGCUUGGUAAGUAGGGCGUGAAAGCUCCUGGCUCAACUGGGAGAGGUCGUUCUAAACUGCCGGACUAGAGGAUGGUAGAGGGAGGUGGAAUUCCGGGUGUAGCGGUGCAAUGCUCAUAUAUCCGUACGAACACCAGUUGCGAAAGCAGCCUCCUGGACCACUCCUGACCCUCAGACGCGAAAGCUAGCGUAUCAAACGG
rnacentral:rRNA from 1 species